rnacentral:piRNA from 1 species
UACGAAGAUUAUGGCCUGAAACUUUGUG